GACGUAGGAUGCAAGCGUUGUCCGGAAUUAUUGGGCGUAAAGAGUUCGUAGGUGGUUUGCCAAGUCUGACGUUAAAGCCCGGAGCUCAACUCCGGUUCGGCAUCGGAAACUGGCAGGCUAGAGUCUGGUAGAGGCAAAGGGAAUUCCCGGUGUAGCGGUGAAAUGCGUAGAUAUCGGGAGGAACCCCAGAGGCGAAGGCGGCGUCCUGGCUCGCAUCUGACGCUCAGACACGACAGCAUGGGGAGCGAACGGG
rnacentral:rRNA from 1 species